rnacentral:lncRNA from 1 species
CGAUUUUUAAAUUCCAUGGCUUUCAUAUAAUUGGUUUUAAGUGUUCCAGAUGAAAGCAAAUAAAAAAUAACCUUCGGAGUUCGUAGCUUUUGAUUUUGAUUGCCAAUGAGACGAAAGACAUGAUCGAAUUGACGAUGAAUAAAAGUAUCGAUUAAUAUCAUUGAAUAUUAACAAGUACAAUUUAGGUGUACAUUGAGAAGACAAAUG